rnacentral:rRNA from 1 species
UUGAUGGCGACCGGCGCACGGGUGCGUAACGCGUAUGCAACCUACCUUUUACAGGGGCAUAACACUGAGAAAUUGGUACUAAUUCCCCAUAAUAUCUGAGACGGCAUCGUUUCGGGUUGAAAACUCCGGUGGUAAAAGAUGGGCAUGCGUUGUAUUAGCUAGUUGGUGAGGUAACGGCUCACCAAGGCGACGAUACAUAGGGGGACUGAGAGGUUAACCCCCCACAUUGGUACUGAGACACGGACCAAACUCCUACGGAAGGCAGCAG